CGGCGUGCCUAAUACAUGCAAGUCGAACGGUCUUUCUAUGGAAGCUUGCUUCCACUGAGAAGAUAGUGGCGAACGGGUGAGUAACACGUGGGUAACCUGCCCAUAAGAGGGGGAUAACAUCCGGAAACGGGUGCUAAUACCGCAUAGUUUUCUUGAUCGCAUGAUUGAGAAAGGAAAGACGGCCUUUGUGCUGUCGCUUAUGGAUGGACCCGCGGCGUAUUAGUUAGUUGGUGAGGUAACGGCUCACCAAGACGAUGAUACGUAGCCGACCUGAGAGGGUGAUCGGCCACAUUGGGACUGAGACACGGCCCAAACUCCUACGGGAGGCAGCAGUAGGGAAUCUUCCGCAAUGGACGAAAGUCUGACGGAGCAACGCCGCGUGAGUGAAGAAAGGUUUUCGGAUCGUAAAACUCUGUUGUCAGAGAAGAACAAGUUGGAGAGUAACUGCUCCAGCCUUGACGGUAUCUGACCAGAAAGCCACGGCUAACUACGUGCCAGCCGCUGC
rnacentral:rRNA from 1 species